rnacentral:rRNA from 1 species
UACGUAGGGUGCAAGCGUUGUCCGGAAUUAUUGGGCGUAAAGAGCUCGUAGGCGGCUCGGUAAGUCGGGUGUGAAAACUCAGGGCUCAACCCUGAGACGCCACUCAAUACUGCUGUGGCUUGAGUCCGGUAGGGGAGCGUGGAAUUCCUGGUGUAGCGGUGAAAUGCGCAGAUAUCAGGAGGAACACCGGUGGCGAAGGCGGCGCUCUGGGACGUUACUGACGCUGAGACGCGAAAGCGUGGGGAGCAAACAGG